rnacentral:rRNA from 1 species
UACGGAGGAUGCGAGCGUUAUCCGGAUUUAUUGGGUUUAAAGGGUGCGUAGGCGGGAUGCCAAGUCAGCGGUAAAAAUGCGGUGCUCAACGCCGUCGAGCCGUUGAAACUGGCGUUCUUGAGUGGGCGAGAAGUAUGCGGAAUGGGUGGUGUAGCGGUGAAAUGCAUAGAUAUCACGCAGAACUCCGAUUGCGAAGGCAGCAUACCGGCGCCCUACUGACGCUGAGGCACGAAAGCGUGGGUAUCGAACAGG